rnacentral:rRNA from 1 species
UCAAGCGAAUAAGCGCACACGGUGGAUGCCUAGGCGGUCAGAGGCGAUGAAGGACGUGGUAGCCUGCGAAAAGUGUCGGGGAGCUGGCAACAAGCUUUGAUCCGGCAAUAUCCGAAUGGGGAAACCCACUGCUUCGGCAGUAUCCUGCAGUGAAUUCAUAGCUGCUGGAAGCGAACCCGGUGAACUGAAAUAUCUAAGUAACCGGAGGAAAAGAAAUCAACCGAGAUUCCCUAAGUAGUGACGAGCGAACGGGGAGCAGCCCUUAAGCUGGAAUGGCUUUAGAAAAACAAUCUGGAAAGAUUGGCCAUAGAAGGUGAUAGCCCUGUAUUUAAAAGGGCCACUCCAGUGAAGACGAGUAGGGCGGGGCACGUGAAACCCUGUCUGAAUAUGGGGGGACCAUCCUCCAAGGCUAAAUACUCCUGACCGACCGAUAGUGAACCAGUACCGUGAGGGAAAGGCGAAAAGAACCCCGGAGAGGGGAGUGAAAUAGAUCCUGAAACCGUGUGCGUACAAGCAGUAGGAGCUCGCAAGAGUGACUGCGUACCUUUUGUAUAAUGGGUCAGCGACUUACUGUUCGUGGCAAGCUUAACCGUAUAGGGGAGGCGAAGGGAAACCGAGUCUGAUAAGGGCGCAUAGUCGCGGGCAGUAGACCCGAAACCGGGUGAUCUAGUCAUGGCCAGGGUGAAGGUGCCGUAACAGGUACUGGAGGCCCGAACCCACGUCUGUUGCAAAAGACGGGGAUGAGCUGUGAUUAGGAGUGAAAAGCUAAUCGAACCCGGAGAUAGCUGGUUCUCCUCGAAAGCUAUUUAGGUAGCGCCUCGGACGAAUACUACUGGGGGUAGAGCACUGUUAUGGCUAGGGGGUCAUCGCGACUUACCAAACCAUUGCAAACUCCGAAUACCAGUACGUACUAUCCGGGAGACACACGGCGGGUGCUAACGUCCGUCGUGAAAAGGGAAACAACCCAGACCCACAGCUAAGGUCCCAAAUUCACUGCUAAGUGGAAAACGAUGUGGAAAGGCAUAGACAGCCAGGAGGUUGGCUUAGAAGCAGCCACCCUUUAAAGAAAGCGUAAUAGCUCACUGGUCGAGUCGGUCUGCGCGGAAGAUUUAACGGGGCUAAGCAGUGAACCGAAGCUUGGGGUGCAUAAAACUUGUUUUAUGCGCGGUAGAGGAGCGUUCCGUAAGCCUGCGAAGGUGGAUUGAGAAGUCUGCUGGAGGUAUCGGAAGUGCGAAUGCUGACAUGAGUAACGAUAAUGCGGGUGAAAAGCCCGCACGCCGAAAGCCCAAGGUUUCCUUGCGCAACGUUAAUCGACGCAGGGUUAGUCGGUCCCUAAGGCGAGGGCGAAAGCCGUAGUCGAUGGGAAGCAGGUUAAUAUUCCUGCACCUCGCGUGAGUGCGAUGGAGGGACGGAGAAGGUUAGGUGUACCGGGCGUUGGUUGUCCCGGGGAAAGGCGGUAGGUUUGGAUCUUUGGCAAAUCCGGGAUCCUUUAAGACCGAGCACCGAGACGAGCCUUUAUGGCGAAGUCACUGAUACCACGCUUCCAGGAAAAGCUCCUAAGCUUCAGCUCACGAAGACCGUACCGUAAACCGACACAGGUGGGUAGGAUGAGAAUUCUCAGGCGCUUGAGAGAACUCGGGUGAAGGAACUAGGCAACAUGGCACCGUAACUUCGGGAGAAGGUGCACCCUUUUUGGUGGCUCAUGCGAGCUAUAGCUGAAGAGGGUCGCAGAAACCAGGCCGCUGCGACUGUUUAUCAAAAACACAGCACUCUGCAAACACGAAAGUGGACGUAUAGGGUGUGACGCCUGCCCGGUGCUGGAAGGUUAAUUGAUGGGGUCAGCCGCAAGGCGAAGCUCUUGAUCGAAGCCCCAGUAAACGGCGGCCGUAACUAUAACGGUCCUAAGGUAGCGAAAUUCCUUGUCGGGUAAGUUCCGACCUGCACGAAUGGCGUAACGACAGCGGCGCUGUCUCCACCCGAGACUCAGUGAAAUUGAAAUCGCUGUGAAGAUGCAGCGUUCCCGUGGCAAGACGGAAAGACCCCGUGAACCUUUACUAUAGCUUUACACUGAACGUUGAGUUCGUCUGUGUAGGAUAGGUGGGAGGCUAUGAAACUGUGGCGCUAGCUGCAGUGGAGCCAUCCUUGAAAUACCACCCUGUCGUGCUUGACGUUCUAACCUAGGUCCGUUAUCCGGAUCAGGGACCGUGUAUGGUGGGUAGUUUGACUGGGGCGGUCUCCUCCUAAAGAGUAACGGAGGAGCACGAAGGUACGCUCAGCGCGGUCGGACAUCGCGCACUGUGUGCAAAGGCAUAAGCGUGCUUGACUGCAAGAUCGACGGAUCAAGCAGGUACGAAAGUAGGUCUUAGUGAUCCGGUGGUUCUGUAUGGAAGGGCCAUCGCUCAACGGAUAAAAGGUACUCCGGGGAUAACAGGCUGAUACCGCCCAACGAGUUCAUAUCGACGGCGGUGUUUGGCACCUCGAUGUCGGCUCAUCACAUCCUGGGGCUGUAGUCGGUCCCAAGGGUAUGGCUGUUCGCCAUUUAAAGUGGUACGCGAGCUGGGUUCAGAACGUCGUGAGACAGUUCGGUCCCUAUCUGCCAUGGGCGUUGGAAGUUUGAGAGGGGCUGCUCCUAGUACGAGAGGACCGGAGUGGACGAACCUCUGGUGUUCCGGUUGUCACGCCAGUGGCAUUGCCGGGUAGCUAUGUUCGGAAGCGAUAACCGCUGAAAGCAUCUAAGCGGGAAGCGCGCCUCAAGAUGAGACUUCCCGGGGCACAAGCCCCCUAAAGGAACCAUGUAGACUACGUGGUUGAUAGGUCAGGUGUGUAAGUAACAGCAAUGUAUUGAGCUAACUGAUACUAAUGAUCCGUGCGGCUUGACCAU